rnacentral:rRNA from 1 species
GAUGAACGCUGGCGGCGUGCCUAAUACAUGCAAGUAGAACGCUGAAGGAAGGAGCUUGCUCUUUCCGGAUGAGUUGCGAACGGGUGAGUAACGCGUAGGUAACCUGCCUGGUAGCGGGGGAUAACUAUUGGAAACGAUAGCUAAUACCGCAUAACAGUAGAUGUUGCAUGAUAUCUACUUAAAAGGUGCAAUUGCACCACUACCAGAUGGACCUGCGUUGUAUUAGCUAGUUGGUGAGGUAACGGCUCACCAAGGCGACGAUACAUAGCCGACCUGAGAGGGUGAUCGGCCACCCUGGGACUGAGACACGGCCCAGACUCCUACGGGAGGCAGCAGUAGGGAAUCUUCGGCAAUGGACGGAAGUCUGACCGAGCAACGCCGCGGGAGUGAAGAAGGUUUUCGGAUCGUAAAGCUCUGUUGUAAGAGAAGAACGAGUGUGAGAGUGGAAAGUUCACACUGUGACGGUAGCUUACCAGAAAGGGACGGCUAACUACGUG